UUUGACCUCGAAUCAGGUAGGGAUACC
rnacentral:rRNA from 1 species